CGAAAGUGGAAAGUGGGGCUAGAAGCGGCUCCCCGGUCUCCCAGGCCUGUGGCUGGGACCUGCAGCCUCACCCAGAAACACACACAGAUUUCCCCCCCGGGACUGACUCGCUGAGCACCACAGCGAGCUUGGAAACCCACCCAGCCUAUCCUUUUGCAGCCUGCGUAAUUGGGCACCAGAAGCACAAAUACUUUGUUCAGACGCUGGGAAGUGGAAAUUUUCUAGUCUGUUAGGCAAAUUCUCCUUUUCUCCUUUUGCAUUUUUUUUACCCCAACAGGAAAAGACUUUUCACUUGGAAUCCUUCCGAUGCAGAUGUGUGAAGACUCUGGUAGCGACAUCUCGGGGACUGAGCAUCUUCUAUUGAUUGGAAAAACACACACAGCACCAGGACCGUUGCCCACCCGCGGAGCUGCUCACAGAGCCACAGCGAAUAAUGAGCAGCCAACUGCCAAGCACAGGCCUCUGAAUUUGAUCAAUAGACGCAGCCCAGCCUUGGGGACCCCUCUGGGUUCCACCAGCAGGCAGAAAAGACACAGGAACAAAGACCAAGCAUGACUUGGAGUCUAACCAUAGAGGACAGAUGGGGGUCCCUGGCAGGAGCCUGAGCUGCAGGAACCGUGGUCCUCAGCUGUGAGUCCCUGCCCUCCUUCCCCUGGAUGGGCCUCUCUGCUGCCCAGGACAGCUUGCCAGCUGCCUGCUCCAGAAGCCUCCUCACCCCAUUGUGAG
rnacentral:lncRNA from 1 species